UGUUAGGAAGCAGAGGUCUCUUCCUGCCAUCAGCAGGGGCUGCUGGAGGCUCUUUCCAAGCCCCAGCAGCUGGCCUGUGGAAUGGGGCACAGAGAGCCACCAGCACGCAGGCUGCCCCAGGUCUGUGGGCACCCCUGGCCGCUCUUCAGGCUGGAAGAGAGACAUCCUGGGAAGCCGGAGUUCCUGUUGAGCCAAGGACCCUUCUUCCCUUCAUUUCCUUCCACGCUCUGUCAUCGGCGUCUGCAAGCUCGCACUUGACCGGGAUUAAGGAGAGCGUUGGCAUGAGCCAGGUCAGCCUUCAAGCAGCCACUUCUCUCCACACUGGACUCAAGCUGCUCUUCAGCUCUUCCGUGGAGAACAUUUUUGAGAUAAUUAUCUUUUUAGUUUCAAGAAUUCUAGACUUGAAAUUGAAGACUCAUGCUCUUGUUUCAUGACCUGACCUCAUUUUGUGGUUGUGAACCCUUCCUUUCCUUUAUGUGAGAAGAUGCCGCUCAAUGUGUUUGUCUUGUAUCACUUUGGUCAGCCAAGGUGAUUUUUAUUUGCUUUUAGUUGUGAAAUCAUGAUGCAUUUGUGCUGUGGAAAUAAAUGAAGUCUGGUGUUUAUUGAGUACCUAU